UACGUAGGGUGCAAGCGUUGUCCGGAAUUAUUGGGCGUAAAGAGCUUGUAGGCGGUUUGUCGCGUCUGCUGUGAAAUUUCGGGGCUCAACCCCGAACUUGCAGUGGGUACGGGCAGACUAGAGUGUGGUAGGGGAGACUGGAAUUCCUGGUGUAGCGGUGAAAUGCGCAGAUAUCAGGAGGAACACCGAUGGCGAAGGCAGGUCUCGUGGGCCAUAACUGACGCUGAUGCGCGAAAGCCAGGGGAGCGAACGGG
rnacentral:rRNA from 1 species